UGUGACCUCAAAUCAGGUAGGACUACCCGCUGAACUUAAGCAUAUCAAUAAGCGGAGGAAAAGAAACUAACAAGGAUUCCCCUAGUAACUGCGAGUGAAGCGGGAAAAGCUCAAAUUUAAAAUCUGGCAGUCUUUUGGCUGUCCGAGUUGUAAUCUAGAGAAGUGUUAUCCGCGCUGGACCGUGUACAAGUCUCCUGGAAUGGAGCAUCAUAGAGGGUGAGAAUCCCGUCUUUGACAUGGACUGCCAGGGCUUUGUGAUGCGCUCUCAAAGAGUCGAGUUGUUUGGGAAUGCAGCUCAAAAUGGGUGGUAAAUUCCAUCUAAAGCUAAAUAUUGGCGAGAGACCGAUAGCGAACAAGUACCGUGAGGGAAAGAUGAAAAGAACUUUGGAAAGAGAGUUAAACAGUACGUGAAAUUGCUGAAAGGGAAACGCUUGAAGUCAGUCGCGUCGUCCGGGGAUCAACCUUGCUUUUGCUUGGUGCACUUUCUGGUUUGACGGGUCAGCAUCAAUUUUGACCGUUGGAAAAAGGUUAAGGGAAUGUGGCAUCUUUGGAUGUGUUUAUAGCCCUUGGUCACAUACAAUGGUUGGGAUUGAGGAACUCAGCACGCCGCAAGGCCGGGUUUUAAACCACGUACGUGCUUAGGAUGCUGGCAAUAUGGCUUUAAUCGACCCGUCUUGAAACACGGACCAAGGAGUCUAACAUGCCUGCGAGUGUUUGGGUGGAAAACCCGAGCGCGUAAUGAAAGUGAAAAGUUGAGAUCCCUGUCGUGGGGAGCAUCGACGCCCGGACCAGACCUUUUGUGACGGUUCCGCGGUAGAGCAUGUAUGUUGGGACCCGAAAGAUGGUGAACUAUGCCUGAAUAGGGUGAAUCCAGAGGAAACUCUGGUGGAGGCUCGUAGCGAUUCUGACGUGCAAAUCGAUCGUCAAAUUUGGGUAUAGGGGCGAAAGACUAAUCG
rnacentral:rRNA from 1 species